UCCUCUAGAGAUUAAUUUCCGGCUGGUGUC
rnacentral:piRNA from 1 species